UCAGGCCUAACACAUGCAAGUCGAGCGGUUGAGGUAGCUUGCUACCGAUGCAACGGCGGACGGGUGAGUAAUACAUGGGAAUCUGCCUGGUAGUGGGGGACAACGUUUCGAAAGGAACGCUAAUACCGCAUACGCCCUACGGGGGAAAGGGGGGGAUCUUCGGACCUCUCGCUAUCAGAUGAGCCCAAGUCGGAUUAGCUAGUUGGUGAGGUAAAGGCUCACCAAGGCGACGAUCCGUAACUGGUCUGAGAGGAAGAUCAGUCACACUGGUUUUGAGACACGGUCCAGACUCCUACGGGAGGCAGCAGUGGGGAAUAUUGGACAAUGGGCGCAA
rnacentral:rRNA from 1 species